rnacentral:lncRNA from 1 species
CCGCGAAAGAUCUGGUUCUGGAGGCCCUCACCGUGCUCGUGCAGUCAAGUUUCGACCGCGUUCGCCCUCGUACAUCCGUCGGCGGCGGCAAUUCGGUUGCGGCGCCAAGAUCCUUGACCUGGACGAGGACAUAGGGGCUGAUGGUGAAGCGGGUGUUGGCCGUGGAGGCGCUGUACCCGGCACUGCAGCGGGUCAUGCGGCUAACCAGGUCGGCGCGGCAGCUGGUGCUGGGCAAGACAUCGCGUCUGUAGGUGUUGGGCAAGACGGCACGGCAGCAUCAGUGCAUCCUGGGGCUGACCAUGACGCAGCAGCCGCAGGUGCUGGGGGCGUUGAGGAGAAGCUACACAAGCACUAGUAGAUCCGUAAGUUGGCUGGAUGCAGUCUUCAAUUUGCUUGGCUUUUAGUUUGGCUGGAUGUAGUAAGUAUGGCUGCAUAUUUUUAUGUUCUGCAAGUAUGAAAAUCGAUUCAUACUAUUGGAGUAUGGCAGAUAUUAUUACUAUGGAUGAUCUAAAUUUAUGGUGAUUAGUGUCGUGGUCUCUAAAAAUAAUUUUCGGUUAUGGAUGAUCCAUUGUUAUGGUGAUUAGUGUCCUGGUCUCUAAAGAUAAUUUUCAGUUAUGUAUGAUCUCUUGUUACAACAGUGAUUUUAGGUUGGAUAAAUGGUGCUAUGUUGAUGAAUAAACAAUCAAGUCCUGGUCUCUAAAAUCAUGCUAUCAUACAGAGAUUGUAGUGUUAUUGUAACAACAUUUAUGAUGAUCUCUUGUACCAGAUGAUUUGAUCAACUGAUUUCAUAUGAAAAUUACUCUGGCCAUGGAUACUAGAUGACGGAAAAUCUCGGGAACCAUACUGAGGUCAACUACAAUCCUUUUGCGCCCACAGUUUUUCGGCUUCCUUGAUCUUACAUCAACGGGUACGCCUUGUCGAUGGCACUCCUUCACUCUCCUCCAAACACGUCUGACCUUCUGCACCGAAACAUGGAACAUGUUUGCAACUUCUCUGGUUGUGGUCUUCUUUAAUUUCCGAUUGACACUUCUUGCUAGCAACUCUUCAUAAAUACCAGUCCUUUGCAAAUCUGUUAAAUUCUUGUAUUUGUCUUCAUGAUGAACUUGCUCAUUAUCUUGUUGCUCUUGCUCCACAUACAUGUCUUCUUCUGGUGCUGAAUCAUACAUGGCUUCAUCUGCUGAAUCAUCAAGCUCUUCUUCCUCAAACUGAAUCUCUAUAUCGCCUGCAUACACACCAUAGUCUUCCUCGUCAACUUGAAGGUUAUUUAGAGCUUCAUCCAUUGCUUGCACUUCCUCUUCCAUGCUCUGGAAAACACCGCCUUGUUCUUCAAGUUCAUGGUCUACAAGGUGAGGUUAUGUGAGUAGUUGUAAUAUUAUAAUUAAACAUUCAUAUAUGCUAUAACUAAAUUAUUUUACUAACCCGAUUCAUCUGAUUCAUGCAGGUUCUCUUCUCCAUGGGCAACAUUGGCCUCAUGUUCCUCUUCUCCAUGGGCAAUGUCGGGCUCAUGUUCAUCUUCUACAUGAAGACCGACAUGGGGUUCUUCAUGCAAGGCAGCCUCAAGUUCGUCCUCUAUGGCGAAGAAGAAUAAUCAGCAGGUGCACAUGAACAAAGAGAACAAAGGAGUAGACGAUCAAGAUGUACCUGGGCUCAUGUUCAGAUCGAUUUGACGACCAACCUGGAGCAGUUCUUCAUGCAAGGCAACCUCAAGUUCGUCCUCUAUGGCAAAGAAGAAUCAUCAGCAUGUGCACAUGAACAAGGAGAACAAAUGAAAAGAUGAUCAAGAUGUACCUGGGUUCAGGUUCAAAUCGAUUUGAUGACCAACCUGGAGCAAUUCUUCAUGCAAGGGAGGCACAUGUUCAACUUCUCCCUCUCCUGGUGCUAUGUUCAAGUCAAUGGCCAUGGCCUCUCUAUGUGUUGUUCUACUUGGCGCUAGUUUGCUGCUUGUUCUACUUGGUGCUACUGUGCUAGCUUUAUAGCUGGUUGUUCUACUUGAAAUCUGGCUCAUAGCUCAAUUCUGUAAUUUGCCGCUUCUAAUUCUGUAAUCUGGCGCCAUAUUGUACUAGUACUCAGCUACUAGUUGUGGAUGGUGGGAAGUGUUGUGGCGGGAACAAUUCUCUGUUGGCAAAGCUGUAUUUACUUCUCCCUUCUCAUUUAUUAUCAACGGGAAUCGAAGCAUUGGUACAGCUGUUGGCACCUUAAUUGAGUGGUGGGAGGGCUUUUU